rnacentral:rRNA from 1 species
UACGAAGGGGGCUAGCGUUGCUCGGAAUCACUGGGCGUAAAGCGCACGUAGGCGGAUUUUUAAGUCAGGGGUGAAAUCCCGGGGCUCAACCUCGGAACUGCCUUUGAUACUGGAGAUCUUGAGUCCGGAAGAGGUAAGUGGAACUGCGAGUGUAGAGGUGAAAUUCGUAGAUAUUCGCAAGAACACCAGUGGCGAAGGCGGCUUACUGGUCCGGAACUGACGCUGAGGUGCGAAAGCGUGGGGAGCAAACAGG